ensembl:lncRNA
UUGUUGAUUCGCCGCUGUGUUUUAAUGUAAAAGGCUGUAGUCUCUGUAUGUACACUUUUUUUCCCUUCAAGUGUUCAGACGUCUCGCGCUGUCAGACAGGCUGCAGCAAAUAUUUCAUUUUAACAUGUUAACAGCUCACAAACAUCUGAAUUUAGCUCUUGGUGUGUUCUAAUUGGCGGAUUGUGUGCAAUCGCCGUAAUAUUUUAUUUUUAAAAGGUCUUAAACAAGAAUAAACUCGUUUGUUGUGAGCUCGUUGAGACAGCACGCGCUGUUCGGAACGGUGACAUAUCUCUCGUCUAUCUCUCUGUUCUCUGUCGCCAGACAUCAAUUAUUAAUAAGCCCUGACCCGCUAAUAAUAAGAUAUGUUGGUUUAGCUUGUCAGUGUGAAUUAAAUUGAUUUAUUUAGUUGUAUUUUUAACCGAUUUAAAAGUGAAACUAAGCGAGACUCCUCCCUCUCAGUCCCGGGAAUUGCUCCUGUAGAGGCGCAUUUUCUCUCAGACAAUGAAAGUCUCAGCACACAUACAUUCCUCACACAGAGCCAAAAAUCCAUAUUCAAAUCAAAAUAGCCGACUUCCUGUUGGUCGUAGCUAAUGACUGUAAAUUAGAAAGUUGUCCGUCUUAAUAAGAACAAUAUAUGUACCGAGUUUGGUGUCUGUAGCUAAAACUAAGCCCCCCACUUUUGACAAAAGGUGGCGCUAUAGAGUGCCUCCUCCACGCCCUUUUAUGACCUUUUGCCAGUGUCUAGCUAUCAUUAAUACUGAUAUGUGUUCUGAGUUUUCAUGAAAUUCUAAGCAUGUUAUCUGCCUCAAAAAUCAGAAUAUAUUAUACAGAAAAAAAUAUUCCAGUUUGAUAUGUUGCCAUGGCAACACUAUAUUAGAUAUCAAUAUCCCCUCAACAGUUUUACAUGGGAUCUCAAGACAUUGGGGAUGCAAAAAUUGCCAGGGGAUUUUUUUGAUAUCUCGAACGGUUUGCUCGUGGCGAGGCGUUGAAAUUAUGGCGAGAAAUGAGAAACAGGAAGUGUCUAAUAACAUCCACAUACAUUUCCUGAUUUUUAAUUAAACUUCAUCAGUUUGUUCGUUGUAUGAUGCCGAUCGCAUAUAUGUGACUAUUAGGAGUCAAAAGUUAUAGCGCCACCAACUGGCAGCAGGAAGUGUGUCAUUUUCAAAAUGCUUUGAAUUCAGCAUCUUAUUUUUUUACUCAAUUUGCUUCAAACUUCAUCAGAAUAAUGACAAAACACGGCCCAUGUAAAAACUGUUGAGGGGAUAUUGAUAUCUAAUAUAGUGUUGCCAUGGCAACAUAUCAAACUGGAAUAUUUUUCUGUAUAAUAUAUUCUGAUUUUGAGGCAGAUAACAUGCUUAGAAUUUCAUGAAACUCAGAACACAUAUCAGUAUUACUGAUAGCUAGACACUGGCAAAAGGUCAUAAAAGGGCGUGGAGGAGGCACUCUAUAGCGCCACCUUUUUGUCAAAAAGUGGGGGGCUUAGUUUUAGCUACAGACACCAAACUCGGUACAUAUAUUGUUCUUAUUAAGACGGACAACUUUCUAAUUUACAGUCAUUAGCUACGACCAACAGGAAG